rnacentral:rRNA from 1 species
CCUACGGGUGGCAGCAGUGGGGAAUAUUGGACAAUGGGCGAAAGCCUGAUCCAGCCAUGCCGCGUGUGUGAAGAAGGCCUUCGGGUUGUAAAGCACUUUCAGUGGGGAAGAAAGCCUUGGGGCUAAUACCCUCGAGGAAGGACAUCACCCACAGAAGAAGCACCGGCUAACUCCGUGCCAGCAGCCGCGGUAAUACGGAGGGUGCGAGCGUUAAUCGGAAUUACUGGGCGUAAAGCGCGCGUAGGCGGUCUGAUAAGCCGGUUGUGAAAGCCCCGGGCUCAACCUGGGAACGGCAUCCGGAACUGUCAGGCUAGAGUGCAGGAGAGGAAGGUAGAAUUCCCGGUGUAGCGAUGAAAUGCGGAGAGAUCGGGAGGAAUACCAGUGGCGAAGGCGGCCUUCUGGACUGACACUGACGCUGAGGUGCGAAAGCGUGGGUAGCAAACAGGAUUAGAUACCCCGAGUAGUC